AUGGGUGAGCACCGCCCUACGGCGAUUGGCAGUUCUUCGAUCGCCUCGAAUGUGGAGGAGGAGGAGGAAGUGACCGAGGAGCCUGAGAUUCCAAUGUGGGACAACAAUGACGACGGUGUGGUUGACCUCAAGACCAAGGCCGAGCUCCAGGAGCUUCACAUUGCCUGCGUCAAAGGCUUCACCGAGUUGGAUCCCAGGAAGAAUCUUUGGGUCCAUACCCGCUUCUGCAGCUUCAAUAUAGGGGGCUUCGACCUUGAUAGAGAGUCUAAGUUUGGCCUUGGGCCGCCGCUUUAUGACAAUCUAGCUCCCAAGUUGGAGAGGUACAUGGCGUCGUUAGCCAUCAAUGUCAUUUCCGUCAAAGUAAGCAAAUCCGACCUGGGUUAUCCAAUCAGUGUAUAUGGCAUGCACUGUUCUUGCAAGGGAUACGAUUGA
rnacentral:rRNA from 1 species